GAGUUUGAUCCUGGCUCAGAUUGAACGCUGGCGGCAGGCCUAACACAUGCAAGUCGGACGGUAACAGGAAGAAGCUUGCUUCUUUGCUGACGAGUGGCGGACGGGUGAGUAAUGUCUGGGAAACUGCCUGAUGGAGGGGGAUAACUACUGGAAACGGUAGCUAAUACCGCAUAACGUCGCAAGACCAAAGAGGGGGACCUUCGGGCCUCUUGCCAUCGGAUGUGCCCAGAUGGGAUUAGCUUGUUGGUGGGGUAACGGCUCACCAAGGCGACGAUCCCUAGCUGGUCUGAGAGGAUGACCAGCCACACUGGAACUGAGACACGGUCCAGACUCCUACGGGAGGCAGCAGUGGGGAAUAUUGCACAAUGGGCGCAAGCCUGAUGCAGCCAUGCCGCGUGUAUGAAGAGGGCCUUCGGGUUGUAAAGUACUUUCAGCGGGGAGGAAGGGAGUAAAGUUAAUACCUUUGCUCAUUGACGUUACCC
rnacentral:rRNA from 1 species